ensembl:lncRNA
GUUUAUUCUGUAUUAUAGUAUAGUCAAUUUACAAUGUUGCAUUAAUUUCAGGUGUAUAGCCAAGUGAUUCAGUCACACAUAUACAUAUAUCCAUUCUUUGUCAGAUUCUUUUCCCAUAUAAGUUAUUACAGAGUAUUAAGUAGAGUUUCCUUUGCUAUACAGGAAGUGCUUGUUGAUUAUCUAGUUUGUAUAUCAACUAGCUACUUUCUUUGUCUUCCUUAUUCAUUUUUUCACCACUAAGCUCUCUUUCCUGAUCUGUGUUCUCUUUUACUCCCCUCCUUGGUACGUUUUCUUUCUUCUUCCACUCGUUUCUUCCUUCUUCAGUCUGGAGAAAGGAGUCCAAAUUUCUUGAUACAAAGAUAGAAUCCCAGCAUUCCAGGGAGAGCUCAUCCUGAAAAAUCUACUUACUUUUUUCAGAUGAGACCAAUCACCAAGAAAGCUGCUGCUGAGGAGAAAGCAGCAGGACUCAGGGUAGAACUGCACAGUUCUUCACAGCUUUACACAAGGCUCUGCCUCACAUCCCAUAGAAAGCCACUGUCCCUGCUGGAUAACCCUACCCGGGGACAACUCUCCCAGGGAGCUCAGAUUCACUGCCCAGGAGCCUGCUGGGAAGAAUGGUGGGCAGGCAUGAUGCUCAGCCAGGAGGGAGCCUAUUGUGCAGCCAAAACACAGCCUUUGAGACGCUGACAUCGUUAGAAGAGUGAGGAUUCAUGUCUGGAUCAUCAGAAAUGAUCACUCAUUGAAAAGCAAUCUGGAAUUGACCAAGGGCUCUUAACAGCUUCUCGUAGGUGUACCCACAGCAAGGGGGACUCAGGGGGCAGCUGUGUGGGUAUGUGGGGAGAAUCGGGCAGUGGGAGCUGCCUAGACCAGGAACCAGCAUCCAGGGGUCUGUCCAUCAUGAUGGGCCCUUCAUUUUCUGUCCCCACCCAUCCACCAGGCAACAUGUCCUCCUGGUUUUGCUUCCCUAAUAGACUUUUCUCCUGAAAAACACAGUUCCUGUUAGAAAAAAACUACAUGACUUUCUGUCUCAGACUAAUUUCACUUGGUUGGACAGUACAAGCCAGUUUUUCCCUAAAACCCGAUUACCCUGGAUAAACUGAAAGGCCAACGUAAUACAACCACAGGUCAGCAACACUUGUGACUCGAGGAAUAAACAAUAAGGCAGGAGUCAAAGUCCGUUUCGAACGUGUAAGUCAGAGUGUGCGGCAGGGUGACACACCACAAGCACAAUGAGGUGGAAUCACGCGUAAUAGCCUGCAGCCUGGCCUCCCCACCGGGGGCCGAGGGUCCCUCGGACACCGUCGGGAGCCUCAGGGCCAUAUCCCACAUCCAUGUUUGUCCAACAACGAUGUGUCACGUGCCCACUACAUGCAUGACCCUGAGAACGUGCUACACGAUCUCACAAGGAUGAAGCACACAGAGCCGAGUGUGCAAUAUAAGACACUUGUAAGCAGCUGCAAGUGCAAAUGUAUUGGUUAUUUGUACCAUGUGUCACUUAAGAUGCUGUUGGCAGCAAAUACUAGAAAAUUACAGCUUCUCAUUUGGUUUAAUGAAUAAAAUAAUUGUAUCAUCUCACUGGGGCUUCCCUGGUGGCUCAGACAGUAAAGCACCUACCUGCAAUGCAGGAGACCCGGGUUUGAUUCUGGGGUCCGGAAGAGUCUGAAGAUUCCUGAAGGUGGGAAUGGUGACCCACUCCAGUAUUCUUGCCUGAAGAAUUCCAUGGACAGAAGAGCCUGGUGGGCUACAGUCCGUGGGGUCGCAAAAAGUUGGACAUGACUGGACACUGACAUGCAAACAUUAUCUCACUAAGAAGUCUAGAAAUAGGGUGACUGUACAUUGGUUAACGCAACAGCCAAGAUGUCCUCCUGGACCAGGGUCUCUCCUUUUCCUUGGCUGCCCGGGACACUGGCCUUGUCCCAGGGCUGUCCCCUCAUGGACACAGGAGGAGAACAGUCACUACACAUGACACAUCAGAUGGAAGACCAGGGCCCAGUGUGUCCAAGUGUCAGGUCUUCAUUUUUAUGGUCAAUCAUCUUUGGCUCUGCCCCUCCCCCACCCAAUGUUUCACUUCUCAGAAUUCUCAGAAUUAUGUCACCAGCCAGACAAAUAUUAACCUGAGCACCUGGACCAAUCAACACUCAACAUUCCAGACCUAAGGAAGGAGCCCAGGACGCAAGACAGUGAAACAAAAUCUGGACUCUGUUAUCAAGGGGGAAAAGGGGGUGGGGGCUGUCAGGUGGACGUCUAUGGAAACACACGCCUGGUCACUGGAAAGUUUACUUGAAGCUGUUCAGCCCUAUCCCACAGACGUGUAGACAGAUCUAAACCUGGACUUCAAGGAAUCUGAGGUCUCCCACUGCUUUGCAGGAGAAAGGAAAACACCAUGUCUCCCAGAACCGAGGCCGGCGCUGGGGUCAACAUAGCUGCGCCUCCUCACAGCCCUACUGUGCGCUGGAACCCGUGUGCAGGUCUGUGCUGAGCAUCCCACACCGGUCAGUUCCCUUGCUUCCUCCCAAGUCCUGCUGAGGGAAUGUCUUAUCCCCACUUACACUGACUAAAGGAGACAAAACCAAAAACUUUGCUUCGAAGAAGUGAAGACAUUUGGAGUCACACAACUGAGCGGUGACACAGGAAAGAGAGCUCAUCACCCUGGUGGCUCAGCGGUAGAGAAUCCACCUACAAUGCAGGAGACCUGGGUUCAAUCCUGGAGUCAGGAAGAUCCCCUGGAGGAAGGCAUGGCUACCCACUCCAGUAUUCUUGCCUGGAGGAUCCCAUGGACAGAGGAGCAUGGUGGGCUAUGGUCCAUGGGGUCGUAGAGGCAGACAUGACUUAGCGAAUAAACAACAAACAACAUCGCUGUGGAUGGUCACAGGAAAAGCAGAGCUGCCUCGUGAGAGGACCGGACGUGUGCCCUACAGCCACAUCAUCCCAUCAGACUUCUCUUCAGGAAAUCUGGGAUGCCCUCUGCCUCCACCCCAGUCAGCAGUGACACACGUGUGCUAUGCUUCGCUGUGCACAGGGUGUCCCCCACAUGCCACCUCAUCUGAUACCAGAGAUGAGACAGCCCAGACCAGCGCCGUCCCAGAGAACUUCCCAGGAUGGUGAGGAGGUUCCGGAUCUGCCCACCCGAGGCAGGAGCAGCAAGCUCCCUGGAGCUGGUGAGCACGUGAGAUGUGUCUCCAUGACGGAGGAACUGCCUCUUUAGCAGUAACUAAUUUUAGUUUAAAUUUAGAGAGCCACAUCUGGCUGGCGGCUGCGGGGGUGAGCCGUGCAGGUGCAGGCGUGGCAUGACUGCUGAGGCUCACUGCUCUAGUAAGCUCCACUCCUCCAUUUGUGGUAACCGGUUGUGACCAGAAUUCCUCCCUGGUUCCUCGAGUUAAUCAUCAACCUGAUCUCAAUGUUGGAAAUUAAAUUCUGUGACAAAAACUUCUCAAGUAUGAGUUCAAUAAGGGGAAGGGACCAAGAAUAAUUGACAAAAACCUUCCCUUAUGUCAGGGAGGUCUGAAUUUGUU